rnacentral:lncRNA from 1 species
ACUUCUGAGACUGGAAAAUAGUUUCAUCUUGUUUGAUCUAUUCACAGGAGUAUUUAACUAAAAGUAUCUGCAUUAAGUGGUUUUUUUUUUUUUUUUUAAUUUUCUGAUGCAGCAGAAAACUUACAUGAAACCAGUUUUUAGAACUGUAUGAAAAUAGUUAACUGGGACUAAGAUAUAGCAAACAAUUGAACCCAACAGCAAGAAUAACUAAGACUCCACUUAUUUGUCAAAGCGGCUGAUGUCAGAGCCCGUUGUUUCCUGUGAGUUAGCUGUUUCUCCCAA